rnacentral:rRNA from 1 species
GACGAACGCUGGCGGCGUGCUUAACACAUGCAAGUCGAACGGAAAGGCCCUGCUUGCAGGGUACUCGAGUGGCGAACGGGUGAGUAACACGUGGGUGAUCUGCCCUGCACUUCGGGAUAAGCCUGGGAAACUGGGUCUAAUACCGGAUAGGGGCCAUUUUUAGUGUGAUGGGUGGAAAGUUUUUUCGGUGUAGGAUGAGCUCGCGGCCUAUCAGCUUGUUUGUGGGGUAAUGGCCUACCAAGGCGGCGACGGGUAGCCGGCCUGCGAGGGUGGACGGCCACAUUGGGACUGAGGUACGGCCCAGACUCCUACGGGAGGCAGCAGUGGGGAAUAUUGCACAAUGGGCGCAAGCCUGAUGCAGCGACGCCGCGUGGGGGAUGACGGGCUUCGGGUUGGAAACUCCUUUCGCUAGGGACGAAGCUUUUUGUGACGGUACCUAGAUAAGAAGCACCGGCUAACUACGUG